rnacentral:misc_RNA from 1 species
GUGAAUCAUCGAAUUUUUGAACGCAAAUUGCACUCUCCUCGGAGAGGAUGCCUGUUUGAGUGUCAGCCUAUAAAAAUCGACAUCGUUGCUGUUUUGCGGUUGCGUUCGUCGGAAAUGGGGUCAUCUUAUAUGCUUUUUACUUAAGCGACUUAAAAUUUUCUUGUGGUUCCAUGAAACGUUCUAUGAUCUAUU